AGAAUCGAUACCAAAAAGCUCCUAAACGUUUACUGGUGACUGAAUUAUCAGUAUAAUUGCUAAAAAUAUGAAUUCACGCAUGUUAUGUUGUUUGACAAUUGCUUUGUAAUUGAUGGGAUGCAAACAGUUAAUAGAUUUCAGUAUUAGUUCAUUGAUGAAUCUGUUCUAUGGUUUUGGAAAAUAUUUUACAAUAACUGGAUGGAGAAUUGGAGAUUGUAGUUAAUUAAACAAUGAUGAAAUUGCUGUAAUGAACAGUAGUAAAAAUCUGAAGAUAACCACUUUUAA
rnacentral:misc_RNA from 1 species